UCAGAGGCGAUGAAAGACGUAGUAACUUGCGAUAAGCCCAGAUUAGGUAGUAACAACCAUUUGAGUCUGGGAUUUCUGAAUGGGGAAACCCACGUGCAUAAGCACGUAUCCUUACCUGAAUACAUAGGGUAAGGAGGCGAACCGGGGGAACUGAAACAUCUAAGUACCCCGAGGAAAAGAAAUCAACCGAGAUUCCGAAAGUAGCGGCGAGCGAAAUUGGACUAGCCCUUAAGCUUUACACGCGUUAGACGAACGGUCUGGAAAGUCCGACGAUACAGGGUGAUAGUCCCGUAGUUGACGACGUGUGUUCAGUGAAAUCGAGUAGGGCGGGACACGUGAUAUCCUGUCUGAAUAUGGGGGGACCAUCCUCCAAGGCUAAAUACUACUGACUGACCGAUAG
rnacentral:rRNA from 1 species